AACGAACGCUGGCGGCAUGCCUAACACAUGCAAGUCGAACGAAUGGCUUCGGCCAUUAGUGGCGCACGGGUGAGUAACGCGUGGGAAUCUGCCCAGCAGUGGGGGAUAACCUCGGGAAACUGAGGCUAAUACCGCAUACGCCCCUCGGGGGAAAGGCUUGCUGCUGCUGGAGGAGCCCGCGUCGGAUUAGGUAGUUGGUG
rnacentral:rRNA from 1 species